UACCCUGACUAGGGACGGAAGCUGCCACCUUUCAGUGUAUGGGAUGAUGCUCCAACCAAUGGAGCCACACCGGCCAGAGCAUAGAUAUAUUUUUCAUCUGAAUAUUACAGUCAUGUGGCAAAAGGAUUUUUCCCUGUUUAUGGUCAAAUUAACUUGCCUCUAAUCCCCAAUAAUUUCUUAUGGAAUGAAUAACUUAUUCUUUGCAAUGUAAUUUAUUAUAUGUAAUAAAUCUGAACAGUUAUUUUCCUAAGGAAACACACCUUAUCAUUCUCUGCAUUGUGUUCACACAAAGAGGUAUUCUUUUGACAAAGAACUUAAACCUAGGGCACAGGAGAAGGGAGCACCCUCUAAUUUCUCUGUAUAAGAAAGCCAGUGAUGCAGACAUAAUGUUCACUUCCCUUAAGGGAACAAUGGCUCUUGACAAGAAGAAAUGUGGUUUUGGCAAAGAACUUGCUGCUCCGAAUUUGUUUAAAAACACUUGAUAUUCUGUUUUAGUUCCUACAUCAAAUAUAUGGGGAGAUAUUUAUAAGGAAAUCGGUAAACUGAUGAGUGAGUAUCUUUGAGCCUUGAGUCAGUAAUAAAAUGAAUUUGGUGCUUUCAAACAUAUACAUUUCACUAGGUUAGAGAGAAAGCCAAGUUUCUGAAAGACCUCUCUUUAAUGGUCAAAAUUGUACAGACUAAAGGAAAAUAAACACUGUACUGUGGUAAUUGCCUAUUGUUAUGGUCUACAUGUUUGUUUCUCCCUCCCAUUUCAACAUUAAGGCAAAUGUUGAAGGCUUAAUCCUCACUGUGAUGGUAUUUAGGGAUGAGACUUUAGGAUGGUAUUAAGGUUAUUAGGUUAGAUGAGGUCAUGAGAGGGGGCCCUCCUGGUGGGAUUAACCCCCUGGUAAGAAGAAAAACCAGAGAGCCCCCUUGUUCUCUCUGCCAUGUGUGGACACAGCAAGAAGGAGGCCGCCUGCGAGCCAGGAAGAGAGCUCUCAUCAGGAUCCAGCCAUGCUGUACCCUGAUGUUGAACUUCUAGCCUACGGAACCGUGAGCAACACAUUUAAAUUUCUCUUGUUUAAGCCACUCACUCUGUUGCAUUUUGUUAUGACAGCCCAAGCCAACUAAAACACCAAUAAACUCUCAGACCACGUUUCUCUUUCAUUGAUAGAUGUUUUCACAUGGACCAGUAUUUGUGUUGAAACCAUCCAGUGACCUGGCUGCCCUGGCUCUUGGCUCUGAAGUCACAUCUUGGACAUGAGAACCGAUUUAGCUCCACCACUUUGGAUUCCAGUCCGUGCACCUUAAACAUGGCCUAGGGCUUGCUCUCUGGCUCUCUCAUCCAAAGGCAGCUCCUGCUCCCACUCUUCAGGGUUACUCCCAGGUGAAGGGUCAUAUAUCAGUCUUGUGUCAGGAACCAUCAAAGGCACAAUAAAAUGUAAGGAACAUGGCAGGGUAGGACAAACACUGAACCUACAUUUUGAGAUAGAGAAAGAAGAGUGAGCCAUAGAAGAGAGGAGAAUACUUGUCACACUAUUUCAGAGGGUUAUUGCCAGGAUCCAAUGUGUCAUUACACAGGAAUGAGAAAAAGCCAUACAGUUUUAAUUCAACGCCUUAUCAUCAUUGCUACUCCAAGGAGUUUAUAAUAUACUAGCUAAGGCAACAUAACAUGAACCACAUGAUAACAAUAUAUAUUUGACUAAAGUGUUACUCACUUGGAAUGAAUAACCUAUUCUAAGCAAUCUAUGUAAUUUAUUAUAUGUCAUAGUCCUCUGGACUGCUGAGACCUGCCCUUAUCCCCCAUCCUUUAAUAUUUAAAUAAAUUAUCUUGAACUCCUCAUCUUCUGUAGAAUGAGAUUAAUCACCAUCACUCCCAAUAUUUCUGGAAAUUCCUGGGGCCUCGCUCCCUGUGGUCUCUGGUUCUGUGUGCAUUCUUUGGCUAAAUUCUCUAACUUCAUUGACUGGGCCAUCCAUAUUCAUUUAUCACCCCCCUGCCCCUGUCCCCUGGCAGCCCCCGCACACAGCCUGGCUUCCUGAAUUCUCCAAGAAUUACUGACAUCAAGCUGCAUGUGCAGCAGAUUUUAAUAAUGACGUGAGGGAAGGAGGAUGAAGUUGUGGCUCAGCACAGAACAUGUUAAAUAUCCUUUUCCUUAAUUGUCCCUUGGCCAUGGCCACCUCUGAGAAGACCUCACUGGCCUGCCGUUUACAUGGAGCCCCUGUGACCAACAUAUUAUUCCAUUUUCCCCCUCUCUCUUCUCCUGGCCUUUUCUACUCGCUCCUUCUAAGUUGCUCCAAUAAUCCCUGCUCUAUUACUUAUGUAAAACAAGAUGGCCACCACCUAUUGAAUGCUUACUCUGUACCAGGCACGAUGCUAAGUGCUGUCACUUCUCAAGUAACAGGUACCCUCACUUUCCAAUGCUCCAGAUAUCUGGGCACAUACCUAGGUGUUUCAACAAACUUUUUCAACAAAUAAUUUUUACACUAUUUCUGAGUGCUAGGGGCUUGGGGUCUUUGCUCUAAUGGGCUUUCAUACCCAAAAAGCCACUCAAGAAAGUUGCUAAAACUAAAACAAAGC